AGGAAAAAAUGUGUGAACAGGGAAUCUACCCCCCCUACUGGCCUGCGUCUCAUACUGCAUCAGGAGAGACGAAGGUCAGACCAGCGGAGGGACCUUAGGAGCACUGUGUCUGGGAAAGGGCGGGGCUUACGGCAGGCGGAGCCAAAUGCCCCGCCCACUUUGAUAGGACGAGCCAUUUCCGUCCGCGGAGAAACAGAGGCAGCAGCCGGCCGAGUUGCGAGCAGAGCGCCUCCGGCAGGCCCUCCCUCGUCGGAAGCGGCGAGUGAGCCAAGCGGCGGGCAAGGGCCGGCUCCCAGGAUGGCCAGGGUGGAGGCCCAGGGCCGCCUGUGGCUGGAGAGCCCCCCUGGGGGAGCGCCUCCCAUCUUCCUGCCCUUGGGUGGGCAAGCCCUGGUGCUGGGCCGAGGACCCUUGACGCAGGUUACCGACCGGAAGUGCUCCAGAAACCAAGUGGAGCUGGUCGCUGACCCUGAGACUCGGACGGUGGCAGUGAAACAGCUGGGAGUUAACCCCUCAACUGCCGGGACUCAGGAGCUGAGAACAGGGUUGGAGGGUUCUCUGGGGGUGGGGGACACGCUGUAUUUGGUCAAUGGCCUCCACCCGCUGACCCUGCGCUGGGAAGAGGCUCACACGCCAGAAUCCCAGCCAGACACUCCACCAGGCACCCCUCCUGUGGCCCCGGAGGAGGAGGAGGAGGAGGAGGAUGAACAGCAGAAAAAGCGGAUAAGGAAGUCAUCCCCUGGCUGGGAGAGCUUCCAGAAGCUGCUAGUGUUCACGGCACCUGGUGUGAAGCCCCGGGGCAAGGUGGCCAGUUUUGAUCUGGAUGGGACCCUCAUCACCACACGUUCUGGGAAGGUCUUUCCCACUGGCCCCAGUGACUGGAGGAUCUUGUACCGAGAGAUUCCACAGAAGCUCCGGGAACUGGCUGCCGAGGGUUACAAGCUGGUGAUCUUCACCAACCAGAUGGGCAUUGGACGCGGGAAGCUGCCAGCGGAGUUGUUCAAGGCCAAGGUGGAGGCUGUGGUGGAGAAGCUGGGGGUCCCCUUUCAGGUCUUGGUGGCCACGCACGCAGGCUUGUACCGGAAGCCGGUGAUCGGCAUGUGGGACCACCUGCAGGGGCAGGCCAACGAGGGCGUGCCCAUCUCCAUCGGGGACAGCGUCUUUGUGGGAGAUGCAGCUGGACGCCCAGCCAGCUGGGCCCCCGGGCGCAAGAAGAAAGACUUCUCUUGCGCUGACCGCCUGUUUGCCCUCAACCUGGGCCUGCCUUUCGCCACGCCAGAGGAGUUCUUUCUGAAAUGGCCCGUGGCCCGCUUCGAGCUCCCAGCCUUUGACCCGAGGACCGUCUCCUGCUCUGGGCCUCUUUGCCUCCCCGAGUCCAGCUCCCUCUUAAGCUCAGACCCCGAGGUGGUUGUCGCCGUGGGAUUUCCUGGGGCUGGGAAGUCCACCUUCCUCCAGGAGCAUCUCGUGUCGGCCGGAUACGUCCACGUGAACAGGGACACUCUGGGCUCAUGGCAGCGCUGCGUGACCACGUGCGAGGCGGCCCUGAAGCAAAGGAAACGGGUCGUGAUUGACAACACGAACCCGGACAUCCAGAGCCGAGCCAGGUACCGGGGUCCCAGGGGCGGCCUCUGUAGGGUGGGCCCCGGGCCCUUUGCCAGCCCCCCACUUCCCCGGCCCCCACAGGUACAUCAAGUGUGCCCGAGACGCAGGCGUCCCCUGCCGCUGCUUCCUCUUCAGCACCACCCUGGAGCAGGCACGUCACAACAACCGGGAAGCAGCUCGAGGCCCCCACGCUGGCCGAAGGCUUCUCCGCCAUCCUGGAGAUCCCGUUCCGGAUCCACGUGGCGCCGCAGCUCGAGCGGCUGUACCGCCAGUUCUCAGAGGGCUGAGCCAACGCCCACCCCCACCUGCUCCCCACCCCACAAUAAAUGCUGUUUUUCUUCAUGUUUGACCAGCAUUUUGCUCCCAGCCGGGCUGGGAGCACAGACCCACCGGCCUGGUCUCCCAGGAAGGCACUGCUGGCAACUUUGCCUCAAACUAAACCCUCAGCCCACGUUGGGGACAACUGCAUCUCGCGGACGGGGGUUUCGGCUUCUCCAGCCUGUGGCUGCUGGCGCUCCAGAUGGGCACCAGGGCAUCCUGGCUGGCAGGGCCCGAGUGGAAUUCGCUGCACGCAGCUGCCAGCUGCAGAGCAAGCCCGGAGUUUUAGCAAGACUGACCCGGGGCCAAGAGCUGGAGCUCCGAUUCCGUGAGAAAUGAGGUGCUCUGCAUGCUGGACUUGAACCCCAGGGCUAUGGCCUGGACCUGCAGCAGCGAGGGGCGCCUGAGAGCCCGGCCAGGCCUGCCGCGUGCCACCAGUGCCAGAGGACUGGAACCGGCCUGGCAUUGCCUUGUGUUUGCUUCCAGCUAAGUGAGGCUUGUGGAACCCGCAGGACAAGGAGGGCAGCCUGCAACGCCGGGAGUCGGGGGAUGGACCCCAGGAGCAGCCGGCCAGCUGUGGAAAGACUCUGGAAGACACGGCCCAGCAAGCACCUUGCAGACCUGGCAGCUCCGUGAACUGCAGCUUCCCCUCCUGGCUCAGGUUCCGCUGCAGGACCUGCUGCUGAUUGGCGAUGACGCGCCGGAUGCCGUUGACGAAGUUGCUCUGGUCAUGGGGGAUGAGGCCGAUGAAGAUCUUCUUCUCAGAGGAGUACAGGAGCAUGAGCACGCGGAUCUCGCACGAGGCCUUGUAGGAAAAGUGCACGCAGCCGGCCUGGCGGUGUGGAGCAGUGUCACGGGCGGGCCCUCAGCGCAGACGCUCCUCCCCAUUGAGACACGGGCGCAAACCGCACGGGUCAGCGCCCUGGCAGACGGGCACCACGGAGCACGCUGGGCCUUCCCAGCCGCCGCCCUCAGCCCUGUCAACACUCCCACAGGACACCAGAGGUGCCUGCGCAAGGACCAGUGAGUGGGCUCUACAGCUGAGCCCAGGAGGCUGCCCGACGAGCUCCAGCGAGACUGUGGCCCCCACGCCGGCCAGCCAGUACCCAGGGUGCCCACGGGACCAGCCACGGCCGUGACCGCGACCACGCAGGAAGGCCGCGGCAGGGGAGAAACACCAGGGGCCAAUCUGGCCCCAGGAGGCCGGGCACCAGGGCUCCGUCCACUCUGCGACCCCCAGGCCAGCUGAGGGCGGGGAAGCUGGGCGGCGCUGAUCCACUGCGAUGCCGCCGUCACCGCGGCUUGGGACAUGGCUCAGCGUCACAGCGACCGCAGUGCCGACAGGCACCAAUCGCUCCCUGACGCCUUUCACAGGAUCCUCUCUCCAGGGCCCAGGGGUCACCGUCCCCAUCUUACAGGUGAGCAAACCCAGGCUGAGAGCUCGGGGACUCGCAGGCCCCCAGAGCCAGAAGGGGUUAUGCCUGCCCUCGGGCCUGUGUGCCACUACAGGGGCCAGUGCUGACAGGCAUCGAGGAGGAAGCCCCUCACAGCACCCCCGAGCCAACAGCCGAGGGAAGCCCGAGUGCGCCGAGGGAGCACCGGCCAUGGGCCUCGAGGCCUUAGUUUCCCUGAGGGAAUCCUGCUUUUAAACUCUUAAAUAACCAGCCCCUCAAAUGCACAGUGGCACAGCCAUGAUGACUUCGGCUGACUUAGAAACAUUACGCUAAUUCGAGGACAGCUAUGACCUGGUACAGCAAACACCCACAAAGCGGACACAGACAGCUGCGGCUUCAGAAGCACGAGGGCCAAGCUCCUCACUUCACAGAUGGAGAGACCGAGGCCCGCAGAGAGGGGAGAACUGGCCAAGGCCCACCAGCAGGUGAGCACCAGGGGCUUUCAGAGCUCGCUCCGGCUGGAGGCAGGCAGAUGCCCUGCCUGGUGAGGGCCUUGGGAGCCUCAGGUUUUCCACCCUGUCCCCGGGGAAAGGAGCAAGAGGAAGGCGGCAGUUUUUAAACACCAAGCGGCUCUGGCUCUGUCUGUCCCACCAUCAGCCCGGCCCUGGGCCCCACCAGCCCACUCACAAAGCCGUUGUCCAUGAUCCGGCACAGGCUCUUCAGCGUCUCCAGGUCCUUGGUGAAGUGGAACUGCACCAGGCGGGAGUUCCGGAAGAGCGGCACCAGGGUGGUCUGCAGGGAGGCCCCGAGGUGGCUGGGCCAGGCGCCAGGGCCCCGCAGCCCCUCAUGCCCACACGUCGGCAGGCCCCGCCCCGCCUACCGCCACUUGCUGGACAGGCAGCCUCCCCCAGGGCCCCAAGGUCGAGGCAAGCCGAGUGCCCCCUUCCCCACUCACCAGCAGCUGCUGCGGGAUGAGCUGCAUGUACAGCUUCCGCGGCCACUGCUCGGUCCUCCUGCAGGGAUGCGGGGACGAGGGUCAGGAGGCCAGGCCUCACCCAGAUGCCGCCCCCGCCCCCUGCCCGACACUCACAGGAUCUCCCCUUGGUUCACGUAGAUGUGCGACGGCAGCCACCUCUUAGACCGACUGUUAGGCUCAGGCCUGGGCUUUUGGGGGGUAAGAAGAGGGGAGCCGUCAGGAGUGGGAGGAUGCCCUGGUCCUGAGGUCACCCAGGCCCGCCCAGGGCUCACCUCCUGCCACUCCAUGACUCCACUCCAUGCCAGGAACUUGUUGUUGACCAUCUGGACAGGGCCCGCGACGCCACCAGGUCCCACUGCCUGGGGAGGAGACAGGUGGGCUGGUGCCCCAGGAGUUCCCCAAAGAACGCUGCCCAGACCCCUCCACGCCCCCAGUCCGUCAGUCCCAAGCUUAUCUACCUGCUGCCCCCAGGGCCCAGCCUGGCCCGGCCCGGCCUCUAGUCUGCCCACAGGCCCAGAGGAUUCCCCAGAGCGGGCCCUGCCCCUCACAGCACACCCCAUGCCCUGGGCCAAGCCCCCGCCAUCAGCCUGGGGGACAUGGCUCACAGGGUCUGCCUCUAAGAACUGGGCGGCUGUAUAACUUGCCACACAAACUGGGACACUUUUGGGUGAAGGGGUCACUGAAGAGCUGGAAAGGCGUGAGCCAGGAUUUGAGGUCACCCUCCUGCCACGAGUGUACCCUCCUGCCACGAGUGUGCCUGCCUGCCCAUCCGCCUCCCUGCUCCCCAUGGGCACCCCUCCUGCCGGGAACCACCCUGUCAGACCCCUCGACCCCCUCACCCUUCAAAGCCUCAGACACGUGUGGCGGCCGGGCCCAAGGGCACACCUGUUUGCGGGUGGUGAUGACCUGCCGGAUGGCAUUGACGAAGCCGCUCUGGUCGUAGGGGAUGAGGCCCAUGAAGAUCUUCUUCUUGGACGAGUACAGGAGCAUGAGCACGCGCACCUCGCAGGGGGAGAUGUGGGGGAAGAGCAUGCAGCCCGCCUGUGGGUGGGGGUGGGGAGGGAACGAUCAUCACGGGACAGAAAUCCUCAAGGUUAACACCAGGACCCUAAAUGACUGGUGUGUAGCCAGAACGUGUCGUUCUGGGAGCCUGUGAACGUGCACCCUGGUGUCCCCCCCACCGUGACUCUGGGGUCAGGACUGGGGCCCCAUGUGCUGGGUGAGGGUCCUGAGAGGGCUCCACCUGCCGCCCACGUGCCCCGAGGUCAUCCCUGUCCUGUGGAGUUUGCUGCUGGGCCCCGCUGACAGAGGCCACCAGGCCCGGGGGUUAAGAGCACAAACGCAGGACCAGACUGCCUGGGAGUAACCCUGGCUCUGCUACCUCCUAGCUGUGUGACCUAAGGCAGGUCACCCCUGGACCUCAGUUUCCCCACGUGUAAAACAGCACAACAACGGCGCACAGAGUAAGCGCCACAUAAACGCUCAUUACACAAGA